rnacentral:rRNA from 1 species
CACGCCGUAAACGAUGAGUACUAGGUGUAGGGGGUAUCGACCCCCCCUGUGCCGCAGUAAACACAAUAAGUACUCCGCCUGGGAAGUACGAUCGCAAGAUUAAAACUCAAAGGAAUUGACGGGGACCCGCACAAGCAGCGGAGCAUGUGGUUUAAUUCGAAGCAACGCGAAGAACCUUACCAGGUCUUGACAUCCCGAUGACCGCUCUAGAGAUAGAGUUUUCCCUUCGGGGACAUUGGUGACAGGUGG